UGGGGAAUAUUGGACAAUGGGCGAAAGCCUGAUCCAGCCAUGCCGCGUGUGUGAAGAAGGUCUUCGGAUUGUAAAGCACUUUAAGUUGGGAGGAAGGGCAUUAACCUAAUACGUUAGUGUUUUGACGUUACCGACAGAAUAAGCACCGGCUAACUCUGUGCCAGCAGCCGCGGUAAUACAGAGGGUGCAAGCGUUAAUCGGAAUUACUGGGCGUAAAGCGCGCGUAGGUGGUUUGUUAAGUUGGAUGUGAAAUCCCCGGGCUCAACCUGGGAACUGCAUUCAAAACUGACUGACUAGAGUAUGGUAGAGGGUGGUGGAAUUUCCUGUGUAGCGGUGAAAUGCGUAGAUAUAGGAAGGAACACCAGUGGCGAAGGCGACCACCCGGACUAAUACUGACACUGAGGUGCGAAAGCGUGGGGAGCAAACA
rnacentral:rRNA from 1 species